UCAAGUUCAAUCUUAUUAAAUAUUCAAGAUAUAUUUAUUUUUAUCUAGAAAGUAGAAAGUAGUUGAGAUAUUUUACUGUCAGCAGUAAAUAAUAGAGAAGAAAAAAAGAAAAAAAAUGAGACUAGUAUAAUUCAAUAAUUGGAAGUGGAAGCGAGAGGCGAAGGCAUGUGCGUGCAUCUGAGGCAAGCACAUGAGCUCCACAAAACAACUGUCCGUAGCUUGCGGCAACAAGCCGCCUCCCUUC
rnacentral:lncRNA from 1 species